rnacentral:sRNA from 1 species
GAUCAUGAAUGUCAAAGGUGAAGCAUAUAGAAAAAACGACUUCAUAGAAAUGAAUAAAGAUAAAUGUGGAUAUAUGUACCAGUCUGGUGGUGAAGAAAUUCUGAAACCCAGAACUUUAUAACAAGAAAAAAAAAUUUUAACCCUGUGAAGAAGUUUGUGAAAGAAACUUGUGAAGUAGUAAUAAUUAGAAAAACACCAUUAAAACACUAGAGAAAAUACAUAGAAAAAUUUGAGAAAUUGUCAUUUGAUUUCUGAAUAAGAGCUUACAGGUGUCCUGUGAGUACUGAAACAAUGAAGUGUAGUGAUUUUAAUUUUGAAAAGAAAAUCUUAAACAAAGAAAGUAACUUGACACCCAACCAUCUUGAAGAGGGUAUUUGAAAUGCUCUAAUUUUAUCCCAGCUUUGUUCAGCCAUGACAAAAGUGACCUGUCAGAUGCUUAGUAUUGUAAUAACCUCAUUUUCCUUCCCAAAUUUAGAGUAUCUUUAAUACUAUUUUUUUUUAGACAGAGUCUCGAUCUGUCACCCAGGCUAUAGUGCAAUGGCACAAUCUUGGCUUACUGCAACCUCCAUCUCCCGGGUUCAAGCGAUUCUACCUCAGCCUCCCUAGUAGCUGGGAUUACAGGCGUUAGCCAGCACACCCAGCUAAUUUUUGUAUUUUUAGUAGAGACAGGUUUUCACCAUGGUCUCGAACUCCUGACCUCAGGCGAUCUGCCUGCCUUGGCCUCCCAAAAUGCUGGGAUUACAGGUGUGAGCCAUGGCACCCGGCCUAAUACUACUAUUAACUACCAUUUUCACUUUUUAUUAGUUCAACAAAAGGUAUACACAUUUAUUUAACAUGUAUACAUGGGGAGAACCAGUGAUUACCCCGAUGUUCAUUAUUUUGAUCACCACGAUAGAGCUGACUACUCUGCUAUGUAGUACAUUUUGGGACGGCACUUAUGUAUGUUUUUGUUUAACGUGGACAAAGACUUGUGGAUAGGUGCAAAAAAUAAAUCCUCUUUUGCAACCCAGAACUCAUUGUUCAGUAUGAGUUUUGAUACAUAUAAGAAGGGAUAUUAUGAUACCUGAGACAGUUGAUCGAUGGGAGUACUGAUAGCCAUAAAGGCUGGUUCCAGGCCAGGUGCAAUGGGUCAAGCCUGCAAUCUCCACACCGAGGUGGGAGUAUUGCUUGAAACGAGGAGUUCAAGACCAGCCUGGGCAAGAAAGUAUUGACAUACUCCACACAUCUGUACUAUUCUUGAGUGAUCGCUUAGGAAUGAAUGUGAUUUGAACUCAUUCAUGUUGAGAGGGUGUCAAAUUGAGAACCAGGCAGAUCCCCACCACCUACAGUAAAAAGGACCCUAAAGUAAAUUGGUUGAAGAAAUUAGAUCCCAAAGAUUCUUGGUGAAUUUUGAAGUCUUCAUCAGUAUACCCAUAUUAAAACGAGACCACAGAAGCCA